CGUGUCCUCUUCUGAUCGGUCUCCCUCUGGCCCUGCGCUGUGACACAUGGAGCUAAGCAGCUCCCCCUCCUCAAAGUCCAUUUAGAUGCGCUGAUUAACAUGAAGACUGAGACACCGCGGCAGUGGAGGAGACGGGGCUUCUGUCCACAGUUGAAGUUUAGGUAUGUACAAACAUAUCUGACGGGCUGUGGUUGUGGCGUACUUGUGAUAAAAGCAAGAUUUGCGAAGAGAGAAACGUUCCCUGUAA